rnacentral:rRNA from 1 species
CGCGUAGGCGGGAAGGUAAGUCGGAUGUGAAAUCCCGGAGCUCAACUCCGGAACUGCAUUCGAAACUGCUUUUCUUGAGGAUAGGCGGAGAAGACGGAAUUCCACGUGUAGCGGUGAAAUGCUUAGAUAUGUGGAAGAACACCGGUGGCGAAGGCGGUCUUCUAGCUUAUUCCUGACGCUAAGGCGCGAAAGCAAGGGGAGCGAACAGGAUUAGAUACCCUGGUAGUCC